AUUUUUCCUGUCAACUGUGGCCAUGCAAAUUACUAUUUUGUAAAAUUCAUGUAUUUACCUCCAGGAUGAACGUAAGAAUGAACUGUCCGCAUUAAAAGAGAAUUACGAGAAUGCAAUGUCAUCAGUCACAACCAUGCAAGGCAAGUAGAAUUUAAUAUUUUGUUGACUUUCGAAAUACACAAAGGCAGACCUUAAAGUAAAAUAUCAGUCAGUCACAGUCAUUGUCUGACCCAUUCGUGAAAUUGUCCAACGUAGAGAGGAAACCACCGGACAUUCUGUCCGACCAAAGAGAAACUGAGGUUUGUUGUUUGUCUGACAUUAGUGUAUUAUUGGUGUGCGACCCAACUGUAGCUUUGUCCAAUGUAAAGCAAAAUGUACCCUAGUCCAGGACUAGAGGCUCAUAUGUGAAAUGGAGAAUCCAAGUAAUGUAUAAAAAGUGAACCGGAAAUGAUGUUUUAAUGUAAUUGAGUGCGGAGUGGCAAGCGAAAUGGCGAAGUGGAAAACUGCCCUAAGUUGUUGGAGUCUUAGUUACAGCUCAGCUGUUAUUGGCAAGCAAGUUAAUUUUGGCUUGGAAAUAAGUAUGAAUGACACAAAUUAUUAUAUAUCUUCACAACAUUUAGUUCAGAAUUAAUACAUUGUGCUCAUAUUAAUUUACAGUGUCAUUCAGACUUAUUUCCGAGCCAAACUGAAUUGAAGGUCAUUGGACAUCAUCUGAUAGACAUAUGUCAAACUCAAAAUCAUCGGACAUUUUGUCAGACAGUCCUGUAAAAGAUAUUUUUAAUAAGGCCUGCAAUUAAGGCUCAAUGUCCACACUAAUCCAUUUUCGUAGCAUUUUCGUAAUUGUUGCUCUAGGUCAAUAGACCAUUGUUUUCUAUUCCCUUGUGAACAGAGAAUGUAACCAUGCUCUAAGAGUGUCUCUUAACAGCUAUAAAAAAGAAUGUCUUUUAUUUUUAACAUUUUUUUUAUUCAGGUAAACUUGAUGACACAAUAAAAGUAUGUGAGCAGCAUAAAGAGAACAGUCGAUCAGCAAACAUAACUACUGCACAAAGAACGAGAGAGCUGUAAGUUGCAGCUGUUGUUGCACUCAUUAGAUUUCAUCUUUCCAAAACCAUUUACAUGUACAAUGUUAUAUUUAAUCAAAUGUUAAUAUUUGUUGCAGAGAAAUUUGCAAGCGAGGAAAGACAGUUUUAGAGCAAGAAAGGGAAG
rnacentral:lncRNA from 1 species